rnacentral:siRNA from 1 species
CAUGGUGGUAACGGGUGAC